GAUGAACGCUGGCGGCGUGCCUAAUACAUGCAAGUCGAGCGAACAGACGAGGUACUUGCUCCUCUGACGUUAGCGGCGGACGGGUGAGUAACACGUGGAUAACCUACCUAUAAGCCUGGGAUAACUUCGGGAAACGAGUGCUAAUACCGCAUAAUAUAUUGAACCGCAUGGUUCAAUAGUGAAAGACGGUUUUGCUGUAACUUAUAGAUGGAUCCACGCGGCUUUAGCUGUUUGUGAAGGUAACGCCUUACAAAGCCAACAAACAUUACCGGACCGAAGAGGGUGAUCGGCCAAACUGGAACUGGGACACGGUCCAGACUCCUACGGGAGGCAGCAGUAGGGAAUCUUCCGCAAUGGGCGAAAGCCUGCCGGGGCAACGCGGCGUGAGUGAUGAAGGUCUUCGAAUCGUAAAACUCUUUUAUUAGGGAAGAACAAAUGUGUAAUUAACUAUGCACGUCUUGACGGUACCUAAUCAGAAAGCCACGGCUAACUACGUG
rnacentral:rRNA from 1 species